rnacentral:rRNA from 1 species
AGUGAACGCUGGCGGUAGGCCUAACACAUGCAAGUCGAACGGCAGCACAGUAAGAGCUUGCUCUUACGGGUGGCGAGUGGCGGACGAGUGAGGAAUACAUCGGAAUCUACUUUUUCGUGGGGGAUAACGUAGGGAAACUUACGCUAAUACCGCGUACGACCUACGGGUGAAAGCAGGGGAUCUUCGGACCUUGCGCAAUUGAAUGAGCCGAUGUCGGAUUAGCUAGUUGGCGGGGUAAAGGCCCACCAAGGCGACGAUCCGUAGCUGGUCUGAGAGGAUGAUCAGCCACACUGGAACUGAGACACGGUCCAGACUCCUACGGGAGGCAGCAGUGGGGAAUAUUGGACAAUGGGCGCAAGCCUGAUCCAGCCAUACAGCGUGGGUGAAGAAGGCAUUCGGGUUGUAAAGCCCUUUUGUUGGGAAAGAAAAGCAGCAGGUUAAUACCCCGCUGUUCUGACGGUACCCAAAGAAUAAGCACCGGCUAACUUCGUG